GUAAAAGUGCCUGAAAAAGGACAGAACUGAUACUUCUGCUAUGUACACUCGUACCUUCUACU
rnacentral:tRNA from 1 species